rnacentral:lncRNA from 1 species
AAAAAUUAUUACUAUGUUUCUCUAGAAAGAUUAGGAGUAUUGUGGUACUUGUGUAAAAGGGAAAAAUGAGUUCCUCAGGGACCAAGAUCUCCAUAUACAGAGAACAAGGAUAAAUAUAAUGAUUUCAUGCAACCAUUGUAUUGAAUCAUUGCUCAAAUAUAAUAGUUGUCCAUUUAGGAUUCCCCUUUGGGGUCAUGGGAAGGGAUUUUUUAAAAAAGAGAUGAGUCACCAAGGGAGACGCAUAGCUUGAUAGAGGCGCAAUUUGUCCAUAAAGUUUUAGGUUGAUAUUUUUCAGUUUUAGAGAGAGAAAAUAUGUCAAUUGAUCUCAAGAUUCUCUCUCCAAUAAUAGUGUAGUAGUCUGAAAGAGGAUAAUUGAUUAACAAUGUUGUUCAAUCGGAAGAGUGGGUUUAGAUAGCAAAAUCAGUUAUGGUUUUGCCCCUUUUUAGAGAGAUGGUUGAAUUUGUGUUAUCGAGGCAGUGGACAUAAGUUACUUGGGGUAAUUU